GAUAAACGCUGGCGGCGUGCCUAACACAUGCAAGUCGAACGUCCUCUCUCGCAAGAGAGAGGGAGUGGCGGACGGGUGAGUAACACAUGGGUCACCUACCCUUAAGUGAGGAAUACCGGCGAGAAAUCGCCGACAAGACCGCAUAGGCUCUCUCUUUUGCAAGAGAGAGCAAAGCUUCGCAAGAGGCGCUUGAGGAUGGGCCUGUGGCCGAUUAGCUGGUUGGAGGGUAAUGGCUUACCAAGGCGACGAUCGGUAGCUGGUCUGAGAGGACGAUCAGCCACACUGGGAUUGAGAACGGCCCAGA
rnacentral:rRNA from 1 species